GACGAACGCUGGCGGCGUGCUUAACACAUGCAAGUCGAACGGAAAGGCCCUGCUUUUGUGGGGUGCUCGAGUGGCGAACGGGUGAGUAACACGUGAGUAACCUGCCCUUGACUUUGGGAUAACUUCAGGAAAUUGGGGCUAAUACCGGAUAGGAGCUCCUGCUGCUUGGUGGGGGUUGGAAAGUUUCGGCGGUUGGGGAUGGACUCGCGGCUUAUCAGCUUGUUGGUGGGGUAGUGGCUUACCAAGGCUUUGACGGGUAGCCGGCCUGAGAGGGUGACCGGCCACAUUGGGACUGAGAUACGGCCCAGACUGCUACGGGAGGCAGCAGUGGGGAAUAUUGCACAAUGGGCGGAAGCCUGAUGCAGCAACGCCGCGUGCGGGAUGACGGCCUUCGGGUUGUAAACCGCUUUCGCCUGUGACGAAGCGUGAGUGACGGUAAUGGGUAAAGAAGCACCGGCUAACUACGUG
rnacentral:rRNA from 1 species